UACGUAGGGUGCGAGCGUUAAUCGGAAUUACUGGGCGUAAAGCGUGCGCAGGCGGUUCGCCAAGUCAGGUGUGAAAUCCCCGGGCUUAACCUGGGAAUUGCGCUUGAAACUAGCGGGCUUGAGUGUGGCAGAGGGGGGUGGAAUUCCACGUGUAGCAGUGAAAUGCGUAGAGAUGUGGAGGAACACCGAUGGCGAAGGCAGACCCCUGGGUCAACACUGACGCUCAUGCACGAAAGCGUGGGGAGCAAACAGG
rnacentral:rRNA from 1 species